AGCGACUGUCAGUCACGGUGUCACCAUCCUAAUUCAGAGAUGGAUAAGGCCUACAAUCUGCUCGAUGGGAAAAGAAAAGUAUAUAUGCGGCAAUCCAGCCAGCAAAGCAGACUUUUACAUGGAUUUGCACAAGAGCAUGCAAAGAUGUGAAUUCCUGGGUAAUUUUCAAAUAUAAAUAAGAUUUCAUCUGAUCUUGCUGACUACA